rnacentral:rRNA from 1 species
CAUUCAGUUGCCAUCGGGUGAAGCCGGGCACUCUGGAAGGACUGCCAUCGACAAGAAUGGAGGAAGGUGGGGACGACGUCAAGUCAUCAUGGCCCUUAUGUCCAGGGCGACACACGUGCUACAAUGGCCGGCACAACGGGAAGCGAGUUCGCGAGGACGAGCGGAUCCCUUAAAGCCGGUCGCAGUUCGGAUUGAAGUCUGCAACUCGACUUCAUGAAGCUGGAAUCGCUAGUAAUCGCAGAUCAGCCAAGCUGCGGUGAAUACGUUCCCGGGCCUU